CGCCUCUUGAAUAUAUACAUAUAAGAGGUCCCGCCUGCCCUGUGACUACAUGUUUAACGGCCGCGGUAUUUUGACCGUGCAAAGGUAGCGCAAUCACUUGUCUUUUAAAUAGAGACCCGUAUGAAUGGCACCACGAGGGCUUAACUGUCUCCUCCCUCCAGUCAAUGAAAUUGAUCCCCCCGUGCAGAAGCGGGGAUAAAUACAUAAGACGAGAAGACCCUAUGGAGCUUUAGAUUUAAGAAAGAUUUUGCGUUAAUAAAUACUAGUGAAAAUAUAUAAACAAGCUCUACUCUUCCAUAUAUCUUUGGUUGGGGCGACCGCGGAGUAAAAAGUAACCUCCGUGAGGAUUGAGGUAUACCCUUAAAACCAAGAACGCCAGUUCUAAGUGAACAAAAAUUUUGGCCUUGAGAUCCGGCUAAAGCCGAUCAACGAACCGAGUUACCCUAGGGAUAACAGCGCAAUCCUCUUCAAGAGUCCCUAUCGACAAGAGGGUUUACGACCUCGAUGUUGGAUCAGGACAUCCUAAUGGUGUAGCCGCUAUUAAGGGUUCGUUUGUUCAACGAUUAAAGUCCU
rnacentral:rRNA from 1 species